UUUAAUUUUUUCUAAUUGUCAAUAUAUUACACUUAAAAUAGGUACAAUAUUUUAGAGCAUAACUUUUAACUACAGAUAACUACAGAUAAGUAUUAUCUUUGUGAUAAAUCCAUUUUUUAAUAAAACGUUAUUUUCAAAUAAAAUAGUCAAUAUACAUAUGAACAACUUAAUGACCGUAUAUAUGUAUGUAUAUAUACACACACACACACCAUAUUUGCAUCCGUACAUACUUGGGUUUGUAAAGUUGUUUGCAUAUUCAUAUAAUUACACUAUAUAAAGCUGAUUUCAAAUCGAUUGUUCAAAUAAUUAUUGCGAUUUUCUGAAAACAUGAAAUUAAUUCGUUGAAACAAUAAAUGUAGAUUUGUAUGCAUGCAUAUGUGUGCAGACAUAUGAUUUUUUGAUAUACCCGGCUGGGCGCGCGACUCUCAUUUUUCUUCCACUAUGGGGACCAAUUUAUACUAUAUAUGUAUUUGGGAUCUUUUAAAUGUUAUAUUCGCAAAACAUUCGCGAAUGCGAAUAUGUAAAAUAAUGCGACUCAUUCGCAUAACGAAUACAAAUGCAAAUAUUCGCGACAUCCCUGAUAUGUAUUUAAACACAUGAAUAAAUGAUAUGAAAUGAACUAGAAGGUCUACUAGAUGGUCAACUAGUUGGACAGCGGUUCGAUUAUGGGCUUAACCAGAUAACAUCGAUCUUGGGCGGCCAAAAAUCCGAUGUACCGGUCAUGUCUUGCUACCUCGCCGAUUAGGACACCCUAUGGGCGAAGCCAAUAAUUUGAAUCGUAUGGAAAGCCUCAGGUCACUUAGUGCCAACGAGCGGUGGAGGAAGUCUCAGUAACGGCACCGAAAAAGGUAAAAGCGGCUGGCAUCAGAAUUCAGAGCUUGCACUCGACGAUCAGAAGAUCAGAGGAAUCAUAGAAGAGCGCAAUAAAGAAGGUACCAAUUGGAAUUGUUGGGUCCAAUCUGCUUUGACAAAAGGAUCAGGAAAACCGAGAUCCACCCUGUACAGAUGCAGGCUGGUUGUAGGUCCGUGAAUUAAAAUAAGUCUAACCCAAAGCUCGCCUGAAAAUUGUUGAAGCCUUAAAUAUGCUAUAACGACGGCGGGAGCUUAUGCAAUGCUUACACUGUGGCAUUGAGUGUAGUUAUAGGAGAUGCUCCAACAGUUUGCUCCGGAUAUACCCACCCGCUAUCGAAGAAUGGUCAAUAAAGAGCCAACGAAUCGAAAUGCAAUCCAGGGGCCGUGCUGCUCUGCAACGAAUUCGUGGAUAUUAUGGCGAGGUAAUGUUUACAAAACCGACAUUUAAACUUAGGUUAAUCAAGUAGCACUCGUGGAAGCUAAAGAUAAUUUAUUUACAGUUUACACGAAAGUAAUAUCAAUUUAAAUUGUUGAAUACACAUUUUUGAGCAAUAUCGGAUCGACUUAUAGCUAUUUCAAUAUCAUUGCACACAUGUGAAUACAUACACUACGAAAUGUGCUUCGCCCAGAAAGUUUUUCAUCUGAUCUUCAUUAUGCCAUUUUUACGACUAAGAAGGGCAUUACCGUCACCUUAUCUGAUGUUUUGCGCCAUUGAAAGAUGUUCCAACGGUAGCGCAAAGGUAUUUCGCACCAUGUUUUGUCGCC